rnacentral:rRNA from 1 species
CCCUGUGGAACCCUAAACGGCCGCGGCACAAAACCGUGCAAAGGUAGCACAAUCACUUGUCCCCUAAAUGAGGACCCGUAUGAAAGGCAACAUGAGAGAAAACCUGUCUCCUAAGGUCCGCCAGUGAAAUUGAUCUAUCAGUACAAAAGCUGAUAUAACUAAGCAAGACAAAAAGACCCUAUGGAACUUUAACAAAUUGGUUAUACACAAUAAACAAUAGUUUCAGUUGGGAUAACUUUAGAAAAAAUAAACCUCUAAGACUAACUAGUCGACCCAGUAAUACUGAAUAACGAAACAAGCUACCCUAGGGAUAACAGCGCCACCUUCUCAAAGAGUCCAUAUCAACAAGAAGAUCUACGACCUCGAUGUUGGAUCAGGGUACCCAGACGGUGCAGCAGCUGUCAAA